AACGAACGCUGGCGGCAUGCCUAACACAUGCAAGUCGAACGAGACCUUCGGGUCUAGUGGCGCGCGGGUGCGUAACGCGUGGGAACCUGCCCUUAGGUGCGGAAUAACGCGCUGAAAAGGGUGCUAAUACCGGAUAAUGUCUUCGGACCAAAGAUUGAUCGCCUUUGGAUGGGCCCGCGUUGGAUUAGCUAGUUGGUAGGGUAAAAGGCUACCAAGGCGACGCGACAUAGCGGGUCUGAGAGGAUGAUCAGCCACACUGGGACUGAGACACGGCCCAGACUCCUACGGGAGGCAGCCGUGGGGAAUACUGGAAAAUGGGCGAAAGCCUGAUCCAGCAAUGCCGCGUGAGUGAUGAAGGCCUUAGGGUUGUAAAGCUCUUUUACCCGGGAUGAUAAUGACAGUACCGGGAGAAUAAGCUCCGGCUAACUCCGUG
rnacentral:rRNA from 1 species